rnacentral:tRNA from 1 species
GCUGUGUGGUCUAGUGGUAUGAUUCUCGCUUAGGGUGCGAGAGGUCCCGAGUUCAAUUCUCGGCACAGCCCA